AGACGAUUAGUCUAAUUAAAACAUUUGAUUUCGGCUCAAAAACACAUGGUUAGAUUCCAUGAUCGUCAA
rnacentral:tRNA from 1 species